rnacentral:rRNA from 1 species
CCUACGGGUGGCAGCAGUAGGGAAUUUUCCACAAUGGGGGCAACCCUGAUGGAGCAACGCCGCGUGCAGGAUGAAGGCCUUCGGGUUGUAAACUGCUUUUAUCUGUGACGAAUAUGACGGUAGCAGAUGAAUAAGGAUCGGCUAACUCCGUGCCAGCAGCCGCGGUCAUACGGAGGAUCCAAGCGUUAUCCGGAAUUACUGGGCGUAAAGAGUUGCGUAGGUGGCAGGGCAAGUUAGUAGUGAAAUCGUGUGGCUCAACCAUACACCCAUUACUAAAACUGCCCAGCUAGAAGACGAGAGAGGUAGAUGGAAUUCCCAGUGUAGGAGUGAAAUCCGUAGAUAUUGGGAGGAACACCGAUGGCGUAGGCAGUCUACUGGCUCGUUCUUGACACUAAGGCACGAAAGCGUGGGGAGCAAACGGGAUUAGAUACCCUAGUAGU